rnacentral:lncRNA from 1 species
CAAAGCCAUGAAGUCACCCCAAGUUCAAACCCAAAAUGCAAUUUGCAGUGGUUAGAAAUGACAAAGGAUGGGUGGUAGGAUCCAGAGAAAAAACAGUGAAACCCGAUGGACCUUAAAUAGAUCUGAGGGCACUGAUUUGAUUAUUUUGGGUGAAAUCUUUUAAGAAAAUCUUGUCAGAUUCUUCACAGAAAAUUUGGUAAAGCCUAUAUUUCAUCGCCAGCCUAGCAAAGGCAAGCUGGCAAACAGGGAAACAAGGAGAACUGUGUGCUCAGCCCUCCAGAGUGGCACGGAUUAUGAGGAGGUGAUGGUCCUUCCCCGCCAAGAUCCUGAGACACUGUCACUCCGGAAUCCAAAAAGAGAUUCAGUUCACCUUGUGCCCAACCUUCUGUCUCCCUGAGUCAGACCUGCAGACGAUUGCAUGCCACCAGCUGUCUUCACUCCUGAGAACAUGACACAAAGGAAUGCUCCCUGUCAAGUUCUUCAUUAUCCUUCUGAUGAAUUUCCCCUGGUUUAAACAAGUUGGUGGUAGACAGACCUUUCUCGCAUUUUCACAGACGUGCCAGGAGGAAACCCAGCGUCUCUCAGUUUCCUUUAAAUAUAUGAGAUACCAUGAAAGGAUUUGAGCGUUUUUUUAUGUGAAUCCAAAGAUGACAUUUACAAAAGGUGGAGAAGCAGUUCCCUACUGAGGGACGUGGAUACAAAAAGCAGAUGACACAACACAGCCCAUAGAGUUCCCAGGGAAGAAUGAACCCAGAUUCUUGACCUGCAGAGGUGGCGUACUGGCUGGAGAAAUCUCUGGCUGGCGACCGUGCUAUUCUGUCUGUCCACCUAACUGUGGGCUCCCAGAUCACCACUGCCAUGGGCAGGGGGCCGUGGGGUGGGCCUGCUUGGGGUGACAGGCUAGCUGUGCUCCCAUAGCAGAGGUGGGAGAAGGGAAUCACAUCUGGUGAGCAGCUAUGUCGUGCCAGGCACUGUGCUGUGUAUUGCACACAUCUCAAACCUUGUGACAAAUGUGUAAGAUAUUUUUUAUGUAUUACAUGGACCACCUCUUCUGAACUGAAGGAAAAAAUGAUGUUAGUUCUCUGCGCGAAUACAAAGAAACACCUGGAAGCCUUGGCAAGGGGAUGAGAUUUGGCAGAGAUCUUUCCGUGUACCGAUGCAUCCUCAGGAAAAUGAUGUGCCGCUCAUUGUUCCUGUUGUCAAGGUUAUCGCAGUCGACUUCAGGCUGGAACGGGCAUUGCUCUUGCACUGAAGAAAGUCUGUCCUGACUCCCUCAGAGUGCCUCAACAUCAACCAAGAGCCACCGUGAACCUCUGGGGCACUGAGCCUGGCCACCAGCACCCCCACCCCAGCCCAUAUGGCCUGGGCCUCUCCCUUGAUGUUUAAAGGAGAUGAUAAAAAUGCUGCAACCCAGAUAAUGAUCACCUUACUCUUCAAAAAUACUGCCCAAGUUCUUUGUUCAAGAUGCCAAGAACCUGGAUACCCUCCACUGGUAACAAAUAUGACUUUGUUUUUAGCAAGCAACUUUGCAGUGUAAUUAAGUUAAGGAUCUUGAGAUGAGAUCAUCUUGGAAUAUCUGGGUGGGCCCUAAAUCCAAUGACAAGUGUCCUCAUAGGAAGGGAAGAUACACACAGAGGAGAAGGUGGUGUGAAGAUGGAAGCCAAGACUGUUGAUACCAGUUGGAGAGCACCAAGAACUACCCGCAGCCACUGAAAGCUAGGAGAGAGGCAUAGGACUGUCUCCUUCAGACCCUCCAGAAAGACCAAACCUGCCCGUGCCUUGAUUUCAGACUUUUGGCCUCCCACAUUGUGAGAGAAUAAAAUUUUGUUUUUGAAGCCAUCUA